CUCUGCUCCAAAAGCCUGCCGUGCAGACUGGAGGUCUGUGUUUCUGGACGUGGGUCUGAGGCUGAUGCCGCCUGCAGCUUUAACACCUGCCUGCAAAGUUAGCGCACAAUCCAAAGCGAGUCCACUGAUGGGACCUUUGAAGGUGAUAGAAAAAGAGAGGUGGGCGGCUGCAUUUUAAGCCCCAAAUACGGACCAUUAAUCUCCCAACAGCGGGUGAGAAGUGAACUCAAGUCAUAUUCCACAGAGAGGAGCGCGGCAGCCUGACAAUCAGAAACACGGUGGAGCUUUGCUGAAGUACGGAGCGCCUCCGGAGCGUGAUGUCAUUUAUGACACAUAUGUCUGUUAUUAUGGCCUCAGCAGCAACACACAAAGAAAAAUAAUAAUAUGCAACGUCAGUUUAUUUACCUUGCAACUUUAAGUUAUGAAAUAAAAUGUUAAAAACCGAAAUUCUUUGGGAAAUUAGCAGCUGUUUUGUUCACACCAAAAUACUUUAUUAAAACAAAUAAGCCAAGGAUGAAUGUUCCUGACUCACACAGAUGUAAAACGCAUGAGCUUUUGAGUUAUGUGUUAGCAUUCUUGAGGAGGGAUACUCUCACAUGUUUGUGUUUACUUGUGUCUGUGCGAAUCCGUUUCCCUCAGAUGUUCCCUUUGACCUCUGAGCUGGGGUCAAACUCAGACAAAUGAGAUGGUCAAGCUCUGGCGAGAGCUGCAAACAUUCCACAAUAAUCUGCUCUCCUACUCCUCCUUUUCCUCUCCUCUGUGUCUCCUCUUCGAGUGAGAGUGAUGUAGAUAACGUUCUCAUUUUGCACAAGCAAGUUUUUUAUUGUGUUUGCUGUGAAAAAAAAAAAAAUAAAAAAAAAAAUCACAUACUCUUCAAAUUAAGAGUUCCAACAUUGAUUCAGUUCAAUAUCCUCAACAUCUGCCUUGUUUUACAAAAAGCAGGAAAACAAAAGUGCAUGAUCUGAGCGGGGAAUCUGAGCUCCACACUUGUGUGCAGUGAGAACACACAUUUUAUGUGUGUGUGUGGAAAGCCUGUCAGUGAUGUCAAAGAUGAGAUAUGUUGCAGUGUGGCUUUUUACACACGCGGCUGGCUCUAGCAUUUCCGGCAACAUUUCUCACUCAGCCUCCCUCACACCAAACGCUCUGCUGUAAUAUCUCCCCCCAUUUCUCCAUCCUUUCAGUCCUCCCCUCCCUCCUCUCCAUCUCCCUCCACCUUCUUUUUUUUCUCACUGCUGCCCCACCCUGGCUAAUCUGAGCCUCUCCCCUCCCUUCAACCUGCAGUUUUCUCUGGUGUUCUUGCCACAGAACCCAACCACCUGUGUCGCCGCGACGACCGACGGAGCUCAUCUGCCUUUCUCCUCCGAAAUCCGGUUCAAGUAAGUAGAUUGAUGCACACUUUUAAUUGAAUGACCCCCCUCCCACUUUCAUCACAGCUCCAGCUACAAGUCACUGCUGUAAAAACACGCACAGUCACCACUUCUGAACGCUAGCGGAACAUUCACAGUGUCACAAAGAAGCACGAAGGCCAGCAAAAGUGACUGAUGUGGUAACACAGGACGAUAGAACCCACUUUCAUAAUGAUGCAAGAUUACUAAAAGGCAUUGCAAUACACCAAAGACUAAUAAAAACGGCUUCAAUCUCUA